rnacentral:rRNA from 1 species
CGGCGUGCUUAACACAUGCUAGUCGAACGAGAUCGGGGGGGCAACUCCCCGGUUGAGUGGCGGACGGGUGAGUAACACGUGGGUAACCUGCCCGGAAGUGUGGAAUACCUCGGGGAAACUCGAGCUAAUACCGCACGACAUCUUUGGGACGAGAGUCCUGACCAUCAAAGCGGGGUCGCAUGACCUCUCGCUACCGGAUGGGCCCGCGCCCGAUUAGCUCGUUGGAGAGGUAACGGCUCACCAAGGCAACGAUCGGUAGCCGGCCUGAGAGGGUGAUCGGCCACACCGGAACUGAAACACGGUCCGGACUCCUACGGGAGGCAGCAGUGGGGAAUCUUGUGCAAUGGGCGAAAUCCUGACUCACCAACGCCGCGUGGAGGAUGAAGGCCCUUGGGUUGUAAAUCUCCUGUCGGCUGGGAAGAAAUCGUUCGGGGAUAAUACCUCCUGACGUUGACUGUACCAGCAAAGGAAGCCCCGGCUAAUUCUGUGCCAUGAGCCGCGGUAAUACAGAGGGGGUCAGCGUUAUUCCUAAUUAUUGGGAGUAAAGGGCGCGUAGGCGUCCACGCGUAUUUUUCUUGAAAUCCCUGGGCCUAACUGAGGAAUUAUCGAAUAAAAUCCGAGGGUCGUGUUCGCGAGAGGGGGGUGGAAUUCUCAGUGUAGCGGUGAAAUGCAUAGAUAUUGGGAGGAACACCGGAGGCGAAGGCGGCCCCCUGGACCGGUAUCGACGCUGAGGCGGGAAAGCGUGGGGAGCAAACGGGAUUAGAUACCCCGGUAGUUCACGCCGUAAACGAUGGGCACUUGGUGUCGCGGGUAUCGACCCCUGCGGUGCCGAAGCUAACGCAUUAAGCGCCCCGCCU